ACCAGACUCCUACGGGAGGCAGCAGUGAGGAAUAUUGGUCAAUGGGCGGGAGCCUGAACCAGCCAAGUCGCGUGAGGGAAGACGGUCCUAUGGAUUGUAAACCUCUUUUGUCGGGGAGCAAAGAGGCCUCGUGAGGUCAAAAGCGAGAGUACCCGAAGAAAAAGCAUCGGCUAACUCCGUGCCAGCAGCCGCGGUAAUACGGAGGAUGCGAGCGUUAUCCGGAUUUAUUGGGUUUAAAGGGUGCGCAGGCGGAGGUGCAAGUCAGUGGUCAAAUUGCGGGGCUCAACCCCGUACUGCCGUUGAAACUGGCUGUCUUGAGAUGUCGAGAGGUAUGCGGAAUGCGCAGUGUAGCGGUGAAAUGCUUAGAUAUUGCGCAGAACUCCGAUUGCGAAGGCAGCAUACCGGCGGCGAUCUGACGCUGAGGCACGAAAGCGUGGGUAUCGAGCAGGAUUAGAUACCCCUGUAUG
rnacentral:rRNA from 1 species